rnacentral:hammerhead_ribozyme from 1 species
ACCUAUCUGACGAGUCCCAAACGGAAGGAAACGCGAGUCCUAGAU